UAGCUUGCUAGACGCUGACGAGCGGCGGACGGGUGAGUAAUGCAUAGGAAUCUGCCCGAUAGUGGGGGAUAACCUGGGGAAACCCAGGCUAAUACCGCAUACGUCCUACGGGAGAAAGGGGGCUUCGGCUCCCGCUAUCGGAUGAGCCUAUGUCGGAUUAGCUAGUUGGUGAGGUAAUGGCUCACCAAGGCGACGAUCCGUAGCUGGUCUGAGAGGAUGAUCAGCCACAUCGGGACUGAGACACGGCCCGAACUCCUACGGGAGGCAGCAGUGGGGAAUAUUGGACAAUGGGGGCAACCCUGAUCCAGCCAUGCCGCGUGUGUGAAGAAGGCCUUAGGGUUGUAAAGCACUUUCAGCGAGGAAGAACGCCUGGCGGUUAAUACCCGCCAGGAAAGACAUCACUCGCAGAAGAAGCACCGGCUAACUCCGUGCCAGCAGCCGCGGUAAUACGGAGGGUGCAAGCGUUAAUCGGAAUUACUGGGCGUAAAGCGCGCGUAGGUGGCUUGAUAAGCCGGUUGUG
rnacentral:rRNA from 1 species